AAUUUUUAAUCUACUCAACCAACUAGGCAACAAAAAAAAAUAAAAAAUAAAAAAAAAUCGAAUGUUAAAAUGUUUUUACUAUAAUAAAUUUUUAAUAGCAUAAAACUUAGUUUGGUAUUGAAGUGGAUCUAACACUAUUAGAUAAAAUAAAGUUGAGAAAAAGCAUAUAGUGAUAUGCUUCUGCGUUCUCCAAUGGGACCACAGAAAAUAUACCGUAACCGACUAACCACAAUAUGCGGAACGCAAUAUUACGUACGAAAAUAAACACGGUAUUUUUCUAUCGGUGUUUCUCACGACACGUAACGCAAUCUUCCCGCAAUUCGAAACGAAGCCUAAUUAAGAUUUUUUUUUUCUAAAAAAAAGCCUAAGAAUAUGUGGGUAUGUUCCAACUAGUACGGUAGAAGUGGAAUUUAUUUGAACUAAUCUCAUUGGCUGGGAGUUCGUUAUUUUGCUUAGGGAUGCCAGCGGGUCGUAUUCGGGGCGGAUUUAAAAAAAUCUAAACCCGAGCCCAACUUCAAACUCGAAACCCGAACACAAAUUCGACGGAUUUUAAAAAUGCAUAUCUAAAUCCAAACCGACCAAAAACCCGAAAUUCAACCUAAACUUGAAACGAUUAUUUUUCUUUUUAAUAUUUUAAAAUAUAUUAUAUUAAAUUUAAAAUUUUAAAAUAUAAAUUCAAAUAUAAUAUCAAAUUUUUAUAUACAUAUUAUAUAUAAUAUAAAAUAAAUUUAGGUUCGGAUCAGAUUCGGGUUCGGGUCCGGGCCAGGUACAGUCAAAAUCUAUAUCCGUUGAUUUUUAUUUUUUAUAUCCAUAUCCGAAAUCAUAUCUAUUUAGCAUCGGAUAAAUUCGCUCUGUUCGAGUUCGGAUUCGGAUAAAAUUUUGGAUAUCCGUACCCAUUAACAUCCUUAAUUUUGCCAUACAGAAGAACUAUGGUUAAAUAUCUAUCCAUGCAUAAAAUUUGCUUGAAUAGAGCUUUGCCCAAAAUAAGUUUUUGAAUAAUCCUGGACACAAGAAAACCUUUUUUUUCAUAUAUUUUUAGGGAAUCCAAUCCAAUUCUUAGCCACUAAGAUACAAUUUGUGGGCACUCCAGGUAACUAUAAUUUUUUAUCAUCAAUCAUGUAGCUUUCAUGCAACUGAUCUGUUUGCAAAUUUUCAAAAGAAAUGGUACAAAUAUAUAAAAAAAAUAAUAUAUAUAUAGGGUCCGGCUACUAUACUAUUAUGAGUAUGAUCGCCCUUAUACUCAUAAGUUGUUUUCGAUGAUAGAGCUUCCGAAUCGACGAUCCACACAGUUAAACGUUAUUUACAGCAUUUAAAACUUCUACAAAUCAAAUUUUAUAAUUUUUCGACAACAUUUACCUUACGAUCAAGAAGUCACAAAUUUGACAAUUUUUAACGGCCGGUAUGGGAUACUUGCUAGUUUAACGGUGUAAAAGAAUCGAAAUUUGUUGCAUUUUUGAUAGAAAAUUCUAUUCACUACAUAGAUAAAGAUCAAUAACUCCGAUCUUGAAUUGAAGGGUCCGACCAUCCUUUUUUAGGACGUCGUUCGAUUUUGACCGUUCAUUUUAUACCCACUUGAUGGACUUUAUUAUGAUUUCAAAAAUUUACGAAAUUUAUUUUCUAGAAGUUUCAAAUACUCUAGAUCAUAUUUAACGGAGUAGAUCAUCAAUUCAAAAACUCCAUCAUUGAAAAUAACUUAUGAGUACGGGGCUCCAAUACUCAUAAUAUUAUAGUAGCCAUGGCCUAUAUAUAUAUAUAUAUAUAUAUAUAUAUAUAUAUAUAUAUAUUCAAUUAAAUACUGCAUCAGAAUAUUAUGUAGUCAAACUUUGCAUCUCCUCCUUUUCUGCGGCUCUUAUCAAAAGUGCUGGGCCCAAAAGUCGUUCAUAUUCACAUACUGAAGUAAUCGUACGAAAUAACCGGAAUAAAUAUAUUUUCAGGUGCGGACCAAAUAAUUACAUAGAUUCAAAUGUUCAAAUUAAGGGUCCUAAACUGGUCUUAUCAAUUCCACUUCUAUCAAAACAUGCAAUAUAUCUUGAAUUUUUAGAGUUCACUGGCUUCAAAUAGCAGUAUUAUACUAACAACUGCUACAAUCUAUUCGUGUCGGAUCGUUGGUACGAUUAAUCCCAAAAACUCGGACGGUUAGAAAUACGCAACUAAUUUGCUUAAAGCAUACAGAUAGCAUGCAAAAAUUAAAACCGUGAGCUUUGUCUCUGAUAUAAUUUAUUAGAUCAUUGGCGCUAAUUAUUGAUUAAUUUUAAAAAUUCAACAUAUUAAAAAUAUGCAACUAAUUCACUUAAAAUGUAUAGACAUGACCGACCGUCCCGAGAGCAAGUGGCAAAAGGCCUGGUGGUUGAUAUCCGAGACCCAAGUUCGAAUCCUAGUUGAUUCACAUUUCCAGCUAAGUUUAUUUUUUAAAUGAAAUAAACGAAGCAGGUAGCAUACUACUUAUCUCUUUAAAGAAAAAAAAAAAAGUAUAGACAUGGCGAUACGAUCUCGAUUGUGACUUGAUUCAGCUAGCCUCACACCGCUUCGAACACGACUCGAUCUAAUCCAAUCUCACGCUAUUUCGAACGUAAGUGUCCUAUCAUAAGAUAGAAUAUUGGUCUAUUUAAGCCAACAUAUUUGGAGCACCAAAUAUUAAUGAAUCCAAUAAUGCAUGGAGGAUGUGGAACACACAGUAUAUCCAAUGAUACAUUAUCUCAAAAUUUUAGGCGCAUCAUGUUUGUUUAGCUAAUAAGGGGAAUUAUUGCCACGUGACAGGUCACAUACAUGCAUGCGCUUUUCUCACAGCGUGACAACCCAUGCCAUAUGUUUGCACACCGUACCUGAAUGGAAAUAAUAAUAAUUAACUUGGAUCGAAGCAAAAGAAUAAUGUAGUGGACAAGCACAAAUGGGGCAUUGCUCAGAGAUGUUGCUGGACACGUGACACGUGUCGGCUGCUCGUGGAGUUAACGGUGCCUUACCCACCGCACAAGGAAUUGCACUGUACUAAGAACAGGCAUGCGUGCCAUGUGCUUGUACUGGAAAAGCAUAUUUUUGGCUCUAAAGUUUAGUGACAUGUCUUAGAUGCAAAGACAACAAAUGGCUCUUCAACACUGCUGGUUCCUAAAGCAAGUGGCAAAGUAAUUGCUGGUUGGUACCCAAAAUUUGAAGUUCGAAUUUUAGUUGAUUCACAUUUCUAGUUAAGUUUAUUUCUAAAUUAAAUAAACGAAGCGGAUAGCGUGCUACAUAUCUCUUCCAAAAAAAAAAGAGCUCUUCAACCGGCCAUCUCUAGAGCAAGUGGCAAAAGAUUUGGUGAUUGGUAUCCGAGGUCCCAAAUUCGAAUUCUAAUUUAUUCACAUUUUCAGCUAAGUUUAUUUCUAAAUAAAAUAAAUGAAACGAAUAGCGCGCUACCUAUCUCUCAAAAAAAACAAAUGGCUCUUCAAAUUACUUAGUUCAUGGCCAGCUUUUAGUACUACUAUUUACGGUGAUACUUGAAACGUAGUGUUUACUAUUCUUUCUACUAAAACACUGCCAAAUUAGGCCGUCGUUACUCUUAUUAAUAACUGUAGAAAUUUAUUCGAUUGCAUCUAAAUAUUACUCUCCUAUGUUAGAAAAGAUCAAAAUAUAGAAACUUAUGAUCUUGCCAAUGUAACUUAAUGAUCAUAAUUCUUCUACUGUCUAAUUUUUUUAUCGUCUUUGAUGUAUUUCUAAUUUGCUAAUAAAAUUGCCAACGGAUUUUCUCUCAAAAAAAAUAAUAAUUUAGAAGUAUCCCUACAAGAAAGAAUAUGGGAUCUAGAGUAGGUUAGUCCAAGAUAGAAUAUUUCAGAUGGAGUUUAAUAACUCCGGAAGAAUUAUUUGUUUUAAUAAAAAUUUGAUGUAACUUUUAUACUCUCUAAUCCAAAUGUUUAGACACUCUUCAAAAAUUUUAAAUUAAAUAUAAAAAAUAAUAAAACAAAGUGUGAAAAUUUAAUUUUUGGUCCAGCUGAGUAUAAAAUUACACCUGAUUUUUUGAUAUACAAAUAAAAUAGCGUUGCUCAAAUUCAUAUUUGAGAAAAUAAAAGAAGGCCAAAAUGUAUAGAACUUAUCUAAACUAUGACUAAUUAAUCUUUUAAAUUUUUUAUUUUACAAUCCAACUUUUGAUGAAUCAGUCGGCAGUAUUUUAACUUCAAAUUUUAAAUAUAUUAUUUAUAUUUACAGAUUUAAUUAGUAUAAUUUAUAUAAUUUUCAUAAUUAUAAAUUUAUUAAAGUAAAUAAUAAGCUUAAAUUUUGAAAUCAAAGUAUUCUCAGCUAACUCAAAUUAACUAAAUUGAAAGAUUCUAAUAGCAAAAUUAAAAUUUCAAAAAUAGUAUAUUUAAAAUAUUCCAUAAUAAUUCUAAGAAAUUUUAUACAUUUUUACACGGCAAAUGGAAUGGAGCACCCCAAGCAGUGCGUUAUGUUGACUUUUUGCGUUCGCCGGGUCAACGCAGUAUUCACGCUGGUGGCGUAUCCACCUCGCGUUGAAUAAAAAUCCAUCCACUAACGCCAAAAGUCAACGCACCAUACCCCAAGAAACGAACUGAGUCAAAUGAUUCGACCGGUUCAAUGGAUUACAUAAUGGUUGAAAAAAAAAAAGAAAAAAAAAAAGAAGGGGCAUCCCUCAUUUGUAUUUGGUUUUGAAAUAGACCUUCAUUUUUUAUUUUUUCAGUAAUAUUUUUUAAAAAAUUUGUGCAAGUCUUUUUAUUUUUGUAAUUUAAAAGUAUGAAUGCUCUGACCUCUAAAAUAAUAAUCUGAAUAAUAACUAGUAAGGGAGUGACUUGCUAAUUUUUAAACUUCGAGCAAUUGAUAACUAAUAAUUAAUCUCUAAAUAAAGCUAUUAACUUUAAUAAAAUUUUUCAUUUUAUUAGCUACAAUAACUUAACCAAAAAAUUAAUAAUAAUAAAGUCAAGAUAGUGUCUAAUAUAUAUUUUAUAUAUUAUAUAAAUAUACGUGGACUUGUUCCAAGCCCAACCAUUGGAGUAACCGCUAUUUCCACCAAUAAUUGACAAAAUAAUUGUCUAAAGAGAAGGGGCCUAAGAAUUCAACGAAUCAAACAAAAGUUUCAAAAAAUUAACCCAAAUUUUCACGUAUAAUUUAAGACGUGUAUUUUCUCACUUUAAUACUCUGUAGUCUAAAAUAAUAGCACUUUACUACUCUAUAAUUUUUUUUUUUCUUUCCGUUAAUUUCGACAUUAAUUUUUUCGUUAAAUCAGUAAAAAAAUUAAAAUUAAAAGAUACUAAAAAAAAAUUCGGUAUACCAUAGAGUACUAAAGUAAAUAUUCGAUAAAUCAUAUGUGAGAUAUCUAAAAUUUUUUGUAUAUAAUUUUAUAAAUAGUUACCGGAGGUAUUGUCAAAAAGAGAAAAAUAAAAUCACGGAAAACUUAAAUAAUAUACUUUAAAAUAUAUAAUACUAAAGUGAGAAAAUACAAAACUACAAAUGUGGUAUUUAAAGCUUACCCUAAAAUAAUAUAUUUUUGUCGCGACAAUACACAUUGGGCAACCAAACAGGACUUGGUAAUUACAGUAUCAUCAUGUAUUGGUUGGUGAGGAAAUUAGAGGCAUUACAUUACACGCUUCCUUAAAAUACUAAUUUUUAACCCGUCACGAUAUUACGUCCGAUGAAAAGUGCAGCGAAAAUAUAUUAUGUUUAUUUUUGUAAGAAGUAAUGCAUCAAAUAAGAUAGAUAAUUACGAGAGAAGCAUACUUUUUUUUAUACUUUUGUACAGUUCUGGAUCAAUAGCAUUAAGGGGCUAUUUGGUUAUACGCAUUUGCAACUGCAGUGCAGUUGCAAAUGCGUGCAGCCUCAAUUCCUUUGUUUGGUUUAGUGUAGUUGAGUUCAACUGCUGCAGUUCCAACUGCACAAGAAGGCCCAAAUGCUGCAGUUGGAACUACAUCCAAAUUGGUCGUAGUUCCAACUGCAGCAGUUGGUGAGGGAUAGGAUCACCCACAAAUUAAUAAUAAUAAAUAAAUAAAUAAAUAGCUAAAUAAAUAAAUAAUAUAUGUAUAUAGGUAAAUAAAAAUACUUAUAAAUAAACUCAUACUAAUAAAAUUUUUUAGACAAUACAAGCUUUGUGCAAAAAAUUAAUUUUUUUAAAUUUAUUUUAUUUAAAAUAUAAAUAUAGUUUUUUUUUCUAAAUUUUUAUAGAAUGUGAUCGUGUAUGUUAAUUUAAUAAGUUUUAAUUAAUUAUAAUUAUUAAAAUUGAUAAAAAAAAUGAGAGAAUCGUUUAAAUUUUUAAAGUUUGAUUUACAUAUUAAAAUUAAAUAAAUUAAAAAUUUUAAAUAUGUCGAUUAAUAAGUUGAAGAAUUAUUGAAAAAUAUAAAAAUAUUAUAUAUAUCUACUUAUUUAUUUAUAAAUAGUAAAUUUAAAUAAUUAAGAAAUUUAUAUAAUUAUUUUAUGUUUAGUGAAGGUAACCUCACCACUUUAUCUGAAGAGGUGACAAAAUUCAUAAAUACAACUAUCAGCUUCAUAUUACCAAACAGAAGAAAUAUAACUGCAGCAGUUGCAACUGCGUAAAACCAAACAGACUAGGUGUAGUUAUAACUGCAGCAUUUGUAACUGCAUGUAUUUCCAACUACACUGUUUCUGCAACUACAUCCAACCAAACGGUCCCUAAGUGGGUCCUAAUAUUAAAAAAGUAUGCUCCGAUAAGCAGAUCUUACAUUCUACGAUUCGAGAAUUUUAAAAUUUCUUUUGAAUUCUUUAUUUUAGCAUUAAAAAGAAGUUUGAUAAGAUGUAUGAGUAAAUCUGGACCUUUUUAGAGAUUAAGGUGUAAAAUUUACACCUAGAUUAGAUGUGUACGUGUAGCAUUACUCGAAUAUCAAACAAGUGAAAAUAAUAAUAAUAAUAAUAAUAUAAUAAUAAUAACAACAACAACGCUAUUCUUUUCCAUUUAUUUUCUCUGAAUUUUGAAUUUUCUUUUUCCUCUGUUGCUUUUUUUUUUUUUCCCCUUUAAAAAUUUCCCCUGUUUUUUAAGAGCUAGAGAAUGUUAAACCCAUUUGGAAUAUCUUUAUCUGGGAAUGCAAAUGGGCCGGGUAGUGUGUGGGCCAUGAACAGCCCAAUAGUGAUGCGACAAACCUAUGGGCCAUAAUGGGCUUGACCAGACUCAACGACUGAUUUAGAAAUUUAACCCCAGAUUGGCCAAGUAAACAAAAAUAAUAUUUAGGUGAAACUACUACCACCAACCCAGCUUAAUGUGAGAUUAUUAUUAUAUAUUUGAAUUAGCUCUACAUUUUGUAAUUUUUCAAAGAUAUUGGCAGAAACAUGUAAAAUGCCAAAGUUUUUAUAUGGUUGAAUCCACAAAUAAAGUAAAAUGAACAUCUACGGUAUCAGAACUACAAGCUUAAACCUGCUCCAGAUGCUAAUUCAAAACAAAUCUUACCAUGAGAAUGCGAACCGGAAAAUCCCAUUUCCUUCUUGCUCGCAUAUGCCAAUCUUACCAAAGAAAAAGGAAAAUAUUGUUAACAAUGAUUCCGAACCUAUAAAUACUAGAGUACACACCAGAUUAAUCUAACUCAUGGAUGCACAGAAUAUAAGAGUGCCUAGCGAAAAUUGAGAGAGUUGUUAUGAAAUUUUAGAAAAGUUUGCAAGGAAAUAUAGUUCUAGUCAUACAUAGGAAGUUAAAGAAUCGAUUUUGAUCCCUCUAAAUAGGUAGAAUCAAAGGGCGUAGUUGCGGUUGUACAUGUCACAAGUAAAAAUACUUGUCAUACCGCAAACAAAUUGUUCUUGUAGAAAAGAGUCCAAUUCGAAUCGUCGGAAGAGAUCAGCUCAGCUCCUUCUGUGCUAAUGGAGUCCGAACAUGAAAUUGGUCCCGAAGAAAUGAUCUCGGCGCCCUCUUUGUGUCCACUUCCACUGCAAGUGAAUUCGACAGACCCGAAACCGCAUGCCGCCUCUCGGUUCCCUCCGUCUUUUGACAGAGAAAUUCUCUCAUGAUCAAACUCAUCCUCGUCAUCCGACAGCCAUUGGCAGCAAUCCAACUCGCCCAUCUCGAAGAUCCGACUAACUAGCCCUUCUCGCCAGGAAAUUCUCGUCGCCGAACGAACUUUUCUGCCAGAGAUGCUAUUGUCACAGAAUGGCUUUCUAAAACAGCUUAAGUCGAUCGAUUCGAAAGGCGUUUCCUGGGGUCCAAACUGGAAGCUGUGCACCGACAGUGCUAACAAGCUAGCUUCAUCACUGUCCAUUCUCUUCGAAGAUAAGCUAAUGGAUUUGAGAACUUCUGAAAUGGCAUCCACUUCAUGUACUGAAAAGUUGGGUGCUUGUUUUGCUGUCGAAUUGACAUUGCAAGUGUUAUCAGUCCACGAUGACUCGCCGGAAAAUGGCGACCUUUCCGCAUUGGGGCCGUAGCGGUAGCCGCCGCUUUCUUGCUGAACUCUAGGAAGCUUAGGCAUAGACGAUUUCGACGCCCUUUUCAAUAUCAUCGAGAAAGGACUGAGACUACUAUCGGUAGUAGGAGUUUUCUGAAUACCGAAACCCGAAGAUGGUGUUGUUUGUAAUGGCGAAGCGCCGCCGUGAGAAAAUCUCCAAAGAUCGGCGGAAUAAUUAGCCGCCGAAAAAGAGCAUUUUGGUAAGAUUAACUCUUCUUCCUUGUGAAUACUCUCUUCUCCAUCCUCACAGGGAGAGAGAAGCCAAUUUACGGAUGCUUCGGCUUCGCAGUGAGCUUUAGAGAAUGAACUGAAGCUGCUACUUGGAUCCCCAGGGGAAGAAGAGAGCCAGUGAAUUGAAGCCCCAGCAAGCGGAGGCGGUAUCGAAGAGAGCGGCGACUCGUCGAAGUGCUUCUCGCGAAGCUCCACCGAUUCCGCGGGCUCGUCUCGGCCGACGGCGAGAAUCCCCCUCGGCCGGCACUUCCGCCGAUCGUGGACACCGGCGACGACGUGGCCCGCGGCGAAGCAUACGGGCGUCGGGGCCACGGAGGACGCGCAGGGGACUUCGGGGGAGAUAGAAGCUUGAAUCGGGGGCGUCGCGCUCGUACCUGAUUUGGGGCUAAUCAACGAGGGCUUCGCCUCCGCCUUCUUCGUCUUCUCCGGCGUGGUGGCGCCGUCGCCGUGGAACCCUACCUCGAAGCUGAGCUCGGGAGAUGGCUUCUUCGAACCGCUCGGCCUCGUCGUCUUCUUCGGAGGGUUUCUAGGGUUUCGGGAGGGGAGGGUUCGCGGAUUGGGAGGGGCCGAUCUGGGGGUCGAUAGGGUCCGAUUUGAUCGGGCGAUCGGGUUCUUCGAGGAGGAGGAGGAGGAGGAGGAAUUGGACAAGAGGAAGCGGAAGCACCCGGAUCGCGGGGCCUCACCGGAGCCGGAGAGGGGAGGACGGGAGCCGCCAUUAAUGUCGGUGAGGGGGCUUCGUCUAGGGCUCGGCUUCGUCUUCGUCUUCGUCGUCUUCGUCGUCGUCCCCUUCAUCUCCACCUCCGCCUCCGAGCUCCUCCUCCCUCCGAACACUCCGAGCUUCGAUGGCUUGUUCAUGGCAGUGUUCGCUCCGCCUCUGUUCGUACAUAGAUCCGUUGGAAAAAGGAGGAAACCAAAAAAAAAAAGAGGGUUUUUUUGAAUUGAGAUGAAGAGGAGACACCUCGAGAUUCGACGAACUUAGCUUACUUUGUUUAUACCGACGAAAAUGCUAUACGGUAAAUUGCAUGUUAGUGCCUAAACUUUCCUGGUAUUACGAUACAGUCCCCUUUAACUAUUCACUUCAACCCCGCAGCCCUUCGUACAAAUCUUUUCAAAAUUUCUUGUCAGUAUAGCUUUUGAUCAAAACCUAAGACGUAUAAAUAUAUAAAUCUGCACUAGGUACUCUAACAGUAAAAUUUAGAUAGUUUAGCUCACAUUCGUUGAUCAUAUUAUAUAAGUAAAAUUUAUUAUAUAAAUUAAAAAUAUUAUUUUGUUAAUACAAUAAUACUAUUAUUUUAUUAGAUAUAUGGUCGAAAACUAAGCACAUAAUAUUAGAAUAUCAGAUAGGACUAAAAAGAGAUGUCAUGACGUUUGAUUAUAUUAAUUUCAGUAAUUAAAUAUAUUCAUAUUUGUCUAAUUUUUUUAUUUAAAAAUUUAUUCUCAUCCUAACUUUUAUCUGUAAGCUGGUUUUAACGUCUUACAUUUUUAGCAAAAAUGAAACACGCGAGAGUCGUGAUAGAGAUCUUACCUUGACCCAAAAUUCAAAAAAUAUAGAAAGUUCAGGGACAAAAGUUCAGGGACCAUGUCGCAGUAUGUCGGAAGCACGUGGGCUAAUCCAAACAUUUCCUUUGCGUUUGUGAUGUGAUGCUAAUCUCGACGGUCAGAUCAACGACGAUCCACGAAAUUGACGGCGAAGAUCACUCGAUACCGACCUUUUAGCGCCAUGUGGGAGUGGUUCGCUUAUCGCUAAUCGCGUCUCUUAAUUCUCCUCAGUAUAAAACGAGAACACCAAUGCGAACAGGAACCUACGCAACUACCAUUUUUACUCUGUUCACUCUGCUGUAUUUAUCUCAUCUUCGCCAUGGGAGAUGCGGAGACGCAGAAGAAGAAGAAGAAGAUCAUCAUCGACACCGAUCCCGGCAUAGGUAGGUCACCACAAAACCCUAGUUUUUGCACUCAGAGAAAACCCUAACUUGAUGAUUGUGGGGGCUAUUUUUGUUUUUGUUUUGUUUUCUCGAUCUGAGAUCCAUUUUGCUUAAUUCUGAUCAAUUGUUGGCGGUGCGUGUGGGGGGUUUUGCUCUUAGAUGAUGCGAUGGCGAUAUUCGUAGCGCUUAAUUCCCCGGAGAUUGAGGUGAUUGGGCUCACGACGAUAUAUGGGAAUGUGUACACGACGCUGGCCACGAGAAAUGCUCUGCAUUUGGUAAGUAUCUGUGUCUAUAUGAGCUCCUAGAAUCGUCUUAUUGGAUACGGUUCAAAUUUGAACAACUAUUUUAGCUCAUUCUUUCAAGUGAAACAUAAGAUCUUAGUUACUUUGGUUUUUAUAAGCUAAUUGAGAUGUGAAAUAGGAAGAAUUGCUAUGUCCAAAUUUGUAAACAAAUAAGCACUAUAGACGCUAGAAAUCUUCUACUCAUGUAUAUAUAAUAUGUCUGAUUAUGCACAUUUAUUGUAUGCCUUAAAAAAAUGAAAUUGGAGGUAGCACUUAUUUUCCAUGCUUGUAUAUUGAGGAUAAUAAUUUUAUAUUAAGGGCAUGUUCUUCAGUCUUAAUAUUCUCAUUGACGUGAUUGGUUUUUUUUAGUUGGAGGUUGCUGAAAGGAAUGACAUACCAGUGGCCGAGGGAUCUCAUGUAACAAUGAUGGUAUCUACUGAUUAUUACAAUACCUGAUCUUUUACUGUUAGUAACAAUGUUCUAUUUCUUUAUAUUUUUUUUCUGUAACUUUAUCUGCCAUAGCCUAUAGAAGAUAAAUAUUCUGGGCGAGACAGUGGUGUAGAUUUUAGAAAGUUUGUUCGUCAGAAAAAUUGCAUAGUAUGAUAACAUGUUACUUGUUUUCUUUAUAUGGAAAAGAAAGUUACAAAGCUUCGCAUCGCUAGCUUUGUUCAUGGUUCGGAUGGGCUUGGAAACCAGAACUUUCCUCCGCCAAAAGGGAAGGCAAUCGAUCAGUCAGCUGCUGCUUUUCUUGUUGAAAAAGCAAAUCAGUAUCCUGGAGAAGUUACUGUGGUAGCACUUGGCCCGCUGACAAAUAUUGCUUUGGUUAGUUUCUCUAUCGGUAUAUUGCACCAUCGGUUCGCCAUCUUUCAAUUGUUACAAUUGAGACCCUAACAUUUGCAUUUAGUUGCCACCUUAUCCUCUCGGUUAUUUCCUUCCUCUAACCAGAUAGAUAUAUUUGUGUAAUCGACAUCUAACUGGCACACUUGUGAUUGUUGUGCUUCUCAUAUUUAAAUUAUGUGGGAAUUCCCCUCCAAGUUUGCCAAAGAACUUGACGGAAAUUGUAAGAUUUGCAAUGUUAGGAAAUGUUAGAAAUCCAAUUGUAACAGUUGAACGGCCUGAGACCGAACCAUAACCUCCAGAAAAGGUUGAACUCUUCGGGGGACAUCCUAACACACUUUACCCAUAUCUCUUUCGCAUUUUCUUUGCCAGAUAUACUCCAUCUUCUGACCUUUUUAAGUUGUUUCUGUAUUCUGACAGGCUAUUGAACUUGAUCCUGCAUUUCCAAAGAAGAUAGGGCAAAUUGUUAUUCUUGGUGGUGCAUUUUCAGUAAAUGGGAAUGUUAAUCCAGCGGCUGAGGCAAAUGUAUGUUUGCUUUCCCAGUCCCAUGCGUUUACUACCUCUGAUACUAUAAUUGUGUUGUUGUCUUCUCUUCUUCUUUUUUUUUGUUUUUAGAAUCAAAUAUAUCAUUAUGGACUACAGCCUGUAAAUUCAAUUGUUAUCGUUGAAUGUUUGAUCAUAUAUAGUAGCUGCAUUAAUAGGAGUUUCUAGUUGAAUAAGGGUCCCUAUUCGAAUGAAUCAUUUGGCAAUUGAAUUUCUUUUCCUGUCAACAGAUACACAGUUGCCAUUUUUUGCAGAUAAUCCAUUUCUUUAUCUUUUGGUGUUUUUUUUAAAAAAAAAUUAAAAAACCGACAAACAGAUCUUUGGUGAUCCUGAAGCUGCUGAUAUUGUGUUCACCUGUGGAGCAGAUAUCUUGGCUGUGGGAAUAAAUGUAACACAUCAAGUCAUUCUUACAGGUAUUUACCAAUUAGUAACCAUUAAUUAUCCUCUAACUUAUGAUAUACAUAAGCAUGAAAACCCAUCCAGAGGGACCUAGUUUGCUUGGAUUUUUCAGCUUCUUGCUUGCUCACAUGCUUGCUUGCUUAUUCUCUUACAAAACUAGAGUUUCGUUGAAUUAUAUUUCUUGAAUUUGAAGUGAUAACUAUUAUUCUAGCUCCCAACAGCCACUUAAUUUGGUCACGCAGCAAACAGCCUUAUAAAAGUUUAAAUAUCUAUCUAAUAGAAUUUUGAGUUUGGUUGUUCCCACAUAUCAAUACUAUUACGCAGGAUAGAUCCUUUGUAUGAAGUCAUGUAAUAAUAUGCUAUCUAUGAGAAGCUAGUUGUUUUCACCAUGCACUCCCUGACGUCUUUACGAUGCCUUGCAGAAGCUGAUCGUGACAAGCUUCAAAAUUCCAAUGGCAGAUUUGCUCAAUACUUGUGCAAGAUCAUAGGGUUUUAUUUUUCAUACCAUGAGGAGGCCUAUUGUACAAAAGGUUCAUAUGGGACUAUAUUGUAUCUAAAAUGCUGCAAAGUGAACAUAUCUCCAGUUUAUUGAUUCAAUGUGUAUGGAUAAAUGCAGGUGUUUACCUUCACGACCCAGCAGCACUUCUUGCCGCGGUCAAUCCUUCAUUGUUUACUUACAGUGAGGGUGUUGUGCGGGUUCAAACAUGUGGAAUCAUGAGGGGUCUUACUAUAUUCGAUAAUACGAAGAAAAGGUCAGCAGCUUUCUGCCAAAAACUGGCUGCUGACAAUUUAACAUGAAUACAGUUCUUAGGCUGAAAUUGUGUUGUCAUUUUCACGUUUUCUCAUUGAUUAUUUGCUUCUGUGCGAUCAUUCAGUCAUAAAGAUAUGACUUGAUAUGGUGCACCACUUGAAACAUUUAUUCACGUGGCAGGUCGACCAUUCUCAUCAAGAACGCCUAAUUGAGUUUCGUAUCACCAAUUAUAUCAUAGCUUUGCUCGUCUCCAAAUACAGUCCCACUCAUUCAUGUCAUUGAUUCUCUCCUUUGAUGUUUUGAUGUGCACAUUUUAUGUUCAUGCUGUUGUAGGUCUACUUUUAUUUAUCCGGUUGCAACUUCCAAUCAGUUGAGCUAAAAAGAAUGGUGAAGCUUUUUCUCUGAUAGUCCCUGUUUUGGACUGGUAUAAAGAUUGAUUUACUUUACAUACGAACCACCAAACAUAACAAAAACCGCUUUUCAAAAUACAUAGGAUGAAGCUUGUUGGAUGUUAGAUUAUGUUUAUGCAAUUUUCUGACUGUCUGAGUCAACAUUAUUCCCACACCAACACCCACAUCUCUGGUGCAUGCAAAUGUUUGAGUAUUCUUUGUUGACAAGGGCUCACAUAUUGGUCUACAAUCCAAUCAUAAAUGUUGCAACUUCUAUGACCCUUUUUUCUCAAAAUUUUGCAGGUACGCAGAAGUCACAGAGUGGACCAAUAAGCCCAUGGUCAAGGUCGCUGUCACUGUUGAUGCCCAGGCUAUGGUAGACUUGGUGAUGGAAAGGCUUAUGAAUUCUUAGCGGAAAUCCUCCAAAAUUGCCUUAAACUGAAUAAAAAAUAUGGAAACAACUUGGUUCUUCGCUAGCUCUGCCUUUUCAUGCAUGCGAUUCUGCCGCUAAAGAAAGGUUGCAUGGAUUGUGAUGGACCGGCGCAAACUGUUAGCACGGCUCUUGUCUUUAAAUCUUUUACGGGGUGGAGAGCGGCCAAAUCCUGUAGUUGUUGUAAACUAUGGAGAGAGGCUUAGUUACCUAAUGUCCAAUUGAAUAAGAUUGUUGUGCCAAGCAAAACUUUUAUUUUUUUAAAAAAAAGUGCCAAGCAAAGCAAGUUGUAAUUUGAAUUUUUAGUUCGCAUAAGUGGUUAUUUACUUCAGUUUUUUCUGAUCGUUUUCAAAGUUUGACCUAUACUGUAAAUCCUCUCCUCUUCCGUGCAAAAUCUCAGCCGUUUGAUGCUCACUCUAAAUUUAGUUUGUGCGUUGCUCGGAUAAUUAGUUUGUUUGUGUGAAUGUGUGAUUGUGUGAAAGAAAAGGCCAAAUGCUGGGUUUCUUUAGCUCGAUCAUGGCCAGGUGCACUAACAAUGAUCGGUCCCUUUUUUAUUGUUUUCAUCUUUUCCUUUUGUUUAUGCUUGGUUGUAUGUGAAAGUGCCUGAAGUGUUUGGUUCAACCUGCAGCUUCUCUAAUGGCUAUCGGUCCACCGAGCGUUCCGAAAAUAUAAUUUUCUUUGAGGGGGUGGGAGGUUCCGUGGGACACUGCAAUACAUCAACGAAAUAAACAAUGCCCUUGUUGUUCUGAGUUAAUAUUGAAUGAACUUACACUCAGAAGUAUAUUUUCUCAAUUGAAGUUUCUCUGGCAAAGUGGGUCAUAUUCUAAUUAAGCAAGGAGAGCUACAACCACCUUGUUACAUAACUUCACUAUAUUUCCUGCUUUUAACCAACCAAGCAUUCUCCUUCACUUGUGAAAUGCAACAUGAGUGAGUAAAUUCCAUAAAUAUGCACUGUACACAUAAACAUAAGUUUUAAUCGUCCUUCACCACACCUUGCUUCAGGAAUGUUUCCGUUUGAUAGAGGAAUUAAUUACAAAUAAGCUAAGAAUUGAAUCCGCUGUUAACUGUAUGCAUGUGAGAAUCGGUUUACUGUAUUGAAGUUCAACUAAGACUAAAUAUAUGUGUAUCACGAUGCAGAUUAGAGCAAUUGGUUGAUUUUUGAAGGUGGAUAAGAUAUAUAAUUGGUUGGUCCACGACAGGCGGUGGACCAUGUCCAGGCUACAAUUCCCGCGUCCCACAAAUCUAAUCUAAUUAAUUAAUUAACCCUACUAUUUCAGACCUAAUCUGUUAUCGAUCGAGUUAUGGAGCUUAUCUGGAUCGGACGGCGACUCGAACUCGCGAGUAAACGGACACUUAACAAAAAAACGCUCUACCCCCAUCGUAACGCAACAACGAUGUGUCGGAGAAUAUCCAAGUAAUGGCAUUCUCGUAAAUAACCCCGAAAACUCGGGGCUCUUGCCGAACGAGGAUGCGUUCUACACCUGCUAUUCUUGCUCGGCGUUGCCCCUACCUUUCCCGCCUCGGGCCUAUAAAUACCCGUCGGAGCUCGCCCCUUCUCUUUUUGAGAAUUCUCCUCUCCGCUAUUCUCCGCCCUCGCGGGCCCUUAUCGUUAACGAGCGAAGCCGCGCAAAACCCUAAUUCGUGUAACCCUAAUGGCGCAGGAGAUCCCCGAUCAAACCCUAGAAAUCCCCGAGGACCCGAUCGCGUCCCCCGGCCCCGAUCCCGCCGAGCCCGCGCUCGCGCGGAGCGGAUCCGCCAGCCGACUCAACGCCCGGGCGCCGGAGUUCGUCCCGCGCGCCGCGGCGGNCCCCGGCCCCGAUCCCGCCGAGCCCGCGCUCGCGCGGAGCGGAUCCGCCAGCCGACUCAACGCCCGGGCGCCGGAGUUCGUCCCGCGCGCCGCGGCGGUGAUCCACGUGUUCCCGGCGGCGCCGCCGAGCCCGACGUUCUUCGCCUCCGGUGCGGUCCCGGGAGCUUUCGAGUAUUAUGGGGUCGGAGGCGCAGGCUUUGGGGAGCACGAGGUGGUUCAGGGGCCGGUUGAUCCAGAUCCGGCGCCGGCGCCGCCGACGGUGCCGGCCAAGGAGGGUCUUUCGGAUGAGGUUGUUCAGAAGAUCACCAAGCAGGUUGGUGCCCCUAGUAUUUGUAAAGUGUUUGAUUCUUUUUCCAAUUUUUUUGUGCUUCAGAUCUCGUUUAGUGGAUGGAUUACGCAAAAAGAGGAAUUUGAUAGGUAAUUCAUCCGCCAAGAGUGUAAUUUGUUUAAUUUAGUAGCUAAUUCAGGAGCAUAGCAUGAUAUAUCCUAACGUAAUAGUUGUUGUUGUUGUUUUUUUUUUUGUCCUUUGCGUUUCGUUAGUUGGAGAUCAUAGUAAAAGAGGAAGAUAAAACAGGCAGUAGUUUUGUGUUAUUUGACGACCUUAAAAUUGAUUGUACUCCUGGCAUCGUCCCAUUCUUAUUGAUAGAUGGAGUAUACGAGCGAAUAAGUUGAAAUUGAGUGAUGGUAUGGUCUACCGAGACGGACAAGUCUUGCUUCUGCAAGGCAAGUGCGCUAAACUGGGAACCAUGAUGCAGGGCAGUCGUUAUCUUGGCGGUGAUCCUAAUUAAUUUCUUUCACUAGGAAACUUUCUCUCAAACUGAUAAUAGAAAAAGUGAUUCUACUCUUGCAUUUAUCAUUUGAGCAAGAAGAAGAAUGCCGUUUCAUGCCAGGUGAAACUUUUGCUAUCGUGCAACUAUCUGAUUCCUCUGCAGGCACGUACAGCAUGUUUAGAUUUCUAUAUUCUGCUGGACUUAGUCAAUUAUCGAUCUUUAUCAAUAGGGAGAUUGUUAGAGAUUGCUAAAGUACAUGGUUAGAGCGUAGAUGAUACUGAAAUUGCUGUUUGUUAUAAGAUAUGAUUUUAGAAGCAGUUUUGUAGUUCUACAGAUUUCCCUGUGCAGACUAUCUAUAGGAAUAUGAUUAGUAUACGGUGGUUUCUUUUUAGUUAAGAACUUUCUACCGCAUCUUAUUAGAUGUUAAUGAAUUCGGAAUUACCUCAUGUAACUUGCCAUAGUGGUGCAAUUUUCUUCUUAGAAGAUAGAUUGAUGGUUAAGGACCACUGUACAAUAUUUUUCUAAGUAAUGCGAAAUUCUAUUGCUUGUUUUGAACUGGCAUUUCUACUAUCUAGCUGCUCGAUUGACUAUUUGUUUGGCAUGCCAAAAGUAUGAGCUGACAAGUUUUUGGAAUUAUUUAACACAAUUCUCUAUCUAACGCUAAGGCUUGACAAGUCUGUUGGUCGAAUGUCUACUUCUUUUGGAUCUAAUUUAUUCUGGAUUUCUCCUUUUUUUUCAGUUUUAAGUUGUUCUAAAUACUGUGGUGAAGCAACUGAUAUAGAUUUGCUAUUUUAUGUGAUGAUCCAUUGAGGUCUGUGUAGCCUAUUAUUUCUCUUAAUAUUUGUCUGUCUUUGUUCACUCGAGCUGAUAAUGUCAAUUUUUGUUCUUGAAGAUUAAUGAUUGAAUAUCCUUUUGAUCUAAUUUCUCAUGGUCUGUUACACUUAAUUUGACAGGUGGAAUAUUAUUUCAGUGAUGCAAACCUGGCAACUACUGAACACUUGAUGAGGUUUAUUACUAAAGAUUCAGAGGGAUUCGGUAAAUUGAAAGAUCUCUAUAUUUAAGUAUAGGCUGGCAUCUAAUUUCUGCUCCGUAUUGGUUUUUAAUAUUCUAACUUAAGAUCUGACAUCUGCAUGAUCCCUUUUUAAGUAAAAGUAUGUCUAUCUGUAAUUUCUUCUAAAAAAAAUCUCAAAUUUUAAAUAUGAAGAUUUUCGUGAUGUACAGGGUAGUUUUUUAACUUAUGGACUUUGUUGGAAUUAGGGUUCCUUUUUUAAAAAAAUGCUAUUAAAGUGGGCCUAAAUUAUCCUAGGACCUCAGUUUCUUAAGCCUCCUUACAUUUUUCUUCCUCUUCUCUGUCCUCCCCUAGCUUUAAUGAUUUGUGGACUCGAUUUGGAGAUGAAUUUAGACAACUGGUAUUUGUUUGAAGGCAUGGAUCAUGAAAACAGUAUUUCUGCCUUAGAAGUCAGCAUUUUCAUAGUCUUACAUUGAGUAGUUCUGAUGUUCAUCUUCUCGAGUCAUUAGAGCAUUAAUCGGCAAUAUCAUGCUCUUAUGUACACCAAACAGUUGAUAGUUGAGCUUCUUUUAUAGAAAAGAAAAUUUCAUUACUCAUUUUUGUUGUUUAAUAAACUAAUCUUGCUUGCUCCUGUUCUAUGCAGUACCAAUAUCAGUUAUCGCUGCUUUUAAGAAAAUCAAAGCUUUAGUCCACAACAAUUCCUUGCUUGCUAAUGCUCUCCGGACAUCCUCGAAACUUGUAAGUCUUUGACAUGAUUUCAUUGGCUUCAGUACACUGCUGGCUUGACUCAUUCUGCCAUCGUUUUUCCUCACUAGUGAAAAUGGUUGACAUUGUUCUGCUAAUACAAGUACUUGUUGAAUGCUUUAUUGCCUUCAAUCUGGGCAGGUUGUUAGCGAUGAUGGGAAAAAAGUCCGGCGUCAGCAGCCCUUUACAGAAGCAGAUGUGGAAGAACUCCAGGUAACUUUCAGCUAUUUCCCAACUAGGUUACCAAAUUUGAAUUAUGAACCACCAUUGUCUGAUUUUCCUUCUUGUAGUCACGCAUUGUUGUUGCUGAGAAUCUACCAGAGGAUCAUUGUUACCAGAACCUUAUGAAGGUUUUCUCUGCUGUUGGCAGGUAGGUUUCUUUGCAAUAUCCUCCUUUUCUUUUAGUAAAAAAUGAAGGCAUAAAAAUUAAUUGCUUGAAUUAAUGAUGUUUCAGUGUCAAGACAAUACGUACCUGCUAUCCUCAGACUCCCAAUGGUACUGCUCCUGUAACUAACAGGUCUGCCAAACUGGAUAUGCUUUUCGCCAACAAGGUAGGUAUUUUACAUUUCUACAACUAUCAUGUUAUCGAGGGGCCACAAGAUUAUAAUCUGCUAUUUGUGUAUUGUAAUUCCAAUUUGAUGUCAUCCUAGCGAUGUAAAACACUUGUGCUGGCUCAUAAGAAGCUUUUGCCUGAGAAUCAUGUCUAAGUGCUAGGCUGGUUGCUUAUUAGAACGACCAUUUAUGCCACUUUUACUCAAUAUUCCAGCCAACUUUCUGACUGAUCCCUAACAUCACAGCUGUAUGACAAUGAAGUUCUAGAUUGAUGUGGUUCUCUUACUUCUUUUCUUAAAGACUGUUUUUGAAUAAUCCUAAUUUAUAAUAUUGGACUUCAUAAAACUAUUUAGUUUAGUGUUGCUAAUUUUAAUUAUUGUUUUUGCUGAGCCUCUUGAUGCACACAUUAUUGUGGUGAUACUAUUCAAUGUAGUAUGGAGAAGAGAAUGUUUGUGGAAGGAAGUAUAUAGUUGAUUGUGCAAUCUCCUUAUUUGUUUCUUUCUUCGCAACUACCAUUUAUCAAUGAAUUAUAUAAAGGGGUUCAUUUAAAAUUGCAGAACUGGUUUAGUUGUGUCAUUUAUGGAUGAAAAAAGUGCAAACAUUAUAGUUGUUAAAAGGAGCCCUUAGAUUAUCUUUUAUCUGCCUUAAAUUUAAUCGAGUUUGCGAAACAAUAUAGAACAUGCUCAACUUGCUCAGAUUGACAGAGUUGGGUACAGCAGUUCCAAACACAUAUUAUAUUGUUUGCUCUGGUUGUACUUCCAAACAGCUUGAUCUUGAAGUGCCUUUGUAGUCUAAAUCAUUUUUAUGCAUUUAUUUAUUGGUUCUGGAACUUAAAGUUGGAUAUUUAUUGGUAUUGAAUUUUUUUAUCCUUCCGAAAAUUUUGAUGUGUAGCUGCAUGCGUUUGUGGAGUACGAGACUAUUGAUGAUGCCGAGAAAGCAGUAAGUAGCAAAACAUAGAUUUGAAGUUUUAUUUCAUAUGUUGUUUUAUACUUAUUCUAUGAGCUUUUGGCUAUUAUUUCUCUGGAUACAGGUUGCUGAGCUAAAUGAUGAGAGGAACUGGAGAAGUGGGCUCAGAGUUCGUUUACUGAACAGAUGCAUGGUACGAAAGAAUUUUUCACUUAUAAUCAGUUUCUCUUUCCUAAACCAUGAUCUGUCAUUCACUAAAUAUUUUACUAAGCUUUCAGAUAUUGUUGUCUGUGCCUCUGUGGUAUUACACAAAACUCAUCCAUGCAUUAGGAAUGUUAGAUUUUUGACUAGUAGUAAUAGAUAAAGGAUCCUAGUAUGUUCAUUCUUUAUUAUUAUUAUUUUUUAAUAAUGCAAAAUACCCUUCUAAAUCCAGCGGUAUAUUAUUUGUUUGUUCACAUUGUUGCCAUUAUUAACUUUACUGUUUUUUUCUCCUUUUUUUUGAAAUUUUGGGACCUUUCAUGGCUGUAGCAUAUGUAUUAUUCUAUGUUGCUCGUUCACCUAAAAUUUUUGUUCUAGUGCAAUGCCUCAUUGUUUCCUCUCUAAAUCCAGACAAAGCAAGGGGUAGGGCGAGGACGAAAGGGAGGGCAUGAAGGUGAUGGGAAUGGAGAGGAGGAGGAUGUCUCCACAUCAGACCACCCACAUGAGAAGCAUCUGGAAGAUAACUCUCAACUAUCUGAACCAAUGCAUGAGCAUGUGGUAAGCCACUGAGUUUUCUAUUUCUGUCUUCCGUUCAACAUGUGGUAAGCCACUGAGUUUUCUAUUUCUGUCUUCCGUUCUACAUGUGGUAAGCCACUGAGUUUUCUAUUUCUCUCUUACGUUCAGCUGUUUUUUCUUCCCUUCCGGCCUGCUCUUCAUGAGCCUUCUGUUGCAUUAUUUACUUUAUUGGUGGAUCAUCAAACAACACUUAAUAGCUGGAUCUUUGGCAACAGAAACAGAUGUUUAGCUCAUUAAUUGUAAGAAAUCAAAGUUUGGUGGCCUAAGUGACAUUUUGCGAUAAGUUAGUGACUAGUGAGGUCAUUUACCUGUGAAUCUGCUUCACCUGAGCCGUUGUUAAAUUUCUAAAGACCUUGUCUAAGUUGAAGAUUUUCUAAAGAAUUCAAGGUUUUCCUUGGACAGGCAGAGGAGAGCUUCAAUGAGAAGGAAACCGGCAUAAGGCGAGGGAAAGGCCGUGGCCGCGGGAGGGGACGAGGGCGUGGCCACCACAAUAACCGCAAUGGAGGGAACCACCAUGUUGGCACUCCGCCCUCUAGCCACCCGAUUCACAACGAGCCACCAGCUGGUGCAAAUAAACAGCCUCCCGGACCUCGGAUGCCAGAUGGGACAAGAGGAUUCACGAUGGGCAGGGGAAAGCUGCUGACAUCAACCAGCACCACUUGAAGAAGAUUUCGCAAUAUUUAAUAUUUGUAUGCCGCUUAUCAUGUUUGGUGUGCUGUUGAUAGAGUGAUUUUAAUAUGCGUUGCUUGUCACUGGUUCGCGUCCGUCCAGAAAUGUGUUAUCUUAUAUUUUGGGGAUUAGAGACUGUGUGUGUGCUGUUCAAUGUGUGCUUAUACUUUGGCCCUUUGAGGAGCAUUUUGGUUUCUCUUUUUUUCAGACUUUAUUUCCUUCUUCUUCUUUCUUUUGCCUUAUCUUUUUGAAUUUUUUCUUUUAAUAUUCUACCAGUCUGGUGUAGACAGAGAAAAGAAAAAGGAAAAAAAUGGGAUACAGUAGAACUCCAUGGUAUUUAGUAUGUUAUAUAUUACAGAACUCCUUUCGUUUUCUUUUUAUCCAUGGGUAUUNCUCUUUUUUUCAGACUUUAUUUCCUUCUUCUUCUUUCUUUUGCCUUAUCUUUUUGAAUUUUUUCUUUUAAUAUUCUACCAGUCUGGUGUAGACAGAGAAAAGAAAAAGGAAAAAAAUGGGAUACAGUAGAACUCCAUGGUAUUUAGUAUGUUAUAUAUUACAGAACUCCUUUCGUUUUCUUUUUAUCCAUGGGUAUUUCUUUUUUGGUUUUAUUAACGUCACUAUAAGAUAAUGUAUUGCGCAAGUUUGAUUGAGAAGUUUCGUAGAUAUUUGGUGAGUUCCCCUGAUUUUGCUGUUUUCUGCGCAGAUAUUAAAACCAGGUAAGAAUGUCCAACAAUUGGUUGUCACUUCAUGCUGAAAUGGAUGUCUAAACCUUUUUAGUCCUGGAGAAGACGUGAUAACUUUGUGUAGCAUUGAUAUUCUCUUCUUCUAUUUUAGGUUUUGAUUUCAGUAGGUAACCAUUCAUUAUUUUCAUUUUUCUGAAAAAGUUUUAUUUAUGAUUGCUAUUAAUUAACAAAAUAUUCUAGUAGAUUAAAGAAUGUUCUGUUAAGUAACGAGAGACAGGUUAAAUCAAAAAUAGAAAAUUUUCAUAAACAGUAUUUAAAAAUUUGAAGUUCACGUAUCCAUUUAAAAGAAGCCAAGAAUCAUGAACACAGCAUUGGAACAAGAAAAUUCAGCAGUAACACCUCACUCUUUUAUUAUUAUUAGUAAGUAUUUUAAUCUGCGACGAUCCAUUGAACUCAAACACUUCUAAGUUCUAACCCUCUCUAUUGAAAAUGCCAGCAAUCAUCAAAGCAGAAGAUACAUUUCGGCCGGGUACGGUAGUAGAUGCAGGCGCAGCACUUCUUGUCGCAGGGCGCGGGGCAAGCUAUCCAACAACAAAGAGAUCAUCAACCAAAGCAAUGGAGAAUGAACACAGAAACGAGUAGUAAUUAGUUCAGACAUAACUCAGAAAAUGUUUGGUCUCUUUUCAGGGUAUUAUUCUACCUAGUCUAUGAACUUUUCUCUUUAGAAGCCCCUAAAAUUAAUCAAUGUUUUAAACUUUUAAACAGGGUAGAAUGUUCAGUUUACAAGAUUGAAGUGAGCAGAUGUUGUUGACGUCGAAAUGUUGCAGUACUGCGAAAUUACAUAGACCAGUACAUUUUCCGAAGCCAAAGUGAAACACAUUCUACUAUCCAAACAUAAGAUGGAACUGAAAGUAGUAUCUCACCUACUGCCAAUCCAUUCUUAGAGUACUCAAUGUAUGGCAGCGGCUUGCGCGCUGGCGGGGCGGCCGAGUGUGCUACUGCCGGCGACAGCAACAGCAUUGCUACUACAACCGAGAAAUAGACCGCCAAUUUGAGCCCCUUCAUUUGUCCUGAGAAUGGUUGUGUUUUUGGAGAAAUGCAUGAGAAAUGUGUGAGGGAUAGCCCUCCUUAUAUUGUGAAGUGUGUAGUGAAAUUCUCUCAAAACAAAGCAAGUGUGCAGAGUAGGACAAUUUUCGGGGAUAUGCUGCAGAAUAAAGAUACGCAGGUGCAUGAAAUUAAUAUCAGCGAAUGAUAUGAAAUCCACAGAUAUGCUGGAUUCCUUUUGGAUUGUUGGGUUAACUCUUUUGGGUGUUUUAGUAAUUAUUUUUCUUAGGGGGCGUUUGGUUCGCACUAUGAAAGAUUACUAAAAAUAAAAAGAUGUCCGAAAAUUUUAUUCAUAUUCAUUCUAUUACUAAGAAUAUAGUAUUUCUGUGUUCGGUUCGCACAGUUAUAUUAUUUAGUCAAUUAUUUAAGAUUACAAAAAAUAUAAAAUUAAUUUAUCUAUUUCUUUAAUUAAUUUUAGAUAAUGCUACUAAAAUUUUCAACAUUUUUUUUAGAAAAAAGGAAAAGAGAACAUUGGUUAGAGAGAGAGAGAGCAUAAUUAAAGAAUUAGGAAGGGAAAUAGAAUCGAGAUUAGGAGUGAGAGAGUUGAGAUUUUAGAAAACUAGAGAAAGAGAGAGCUUAGUUUAGAGAGAGAAAAAGAGUUGAAGUUCAGAGAAAAAAAGAUAAGUUUAGAGAGAGAUAUGAGAUUAGAGUGUAAAAAAAAAUAAUACUAACUAGUCGGCGGGUAGGGAGAAAAAAGAGAUUAAACAUAUUAUGAUUACUCCAAUCCAUUAAUAUGAGGAUACUCACCUUCCCUCAAGAGAAGGAUAUUAGUACUUUAAGAUAAAUCACAUUCCCAAGUAAAUCCAAUAUUACCAACUAGAUUACUUAGUGCGUUUAGCCAAAUAUCGUCAUACUUUUUUAUUCCUAUUGAAUUUUUAGGCAUCUUAAAAAGAUAGCGCGAACCAAACGCACCCCUAAUGUCUGAAGAUGUAUUGCAUAUCACACUAUUUUGAUAUAAGAAUAAAAUAUUUGGUAAUGAAAU
rnacentral:lncRNA from 1 species